UGCAGGGGAGGGUGGGGCACAGGUGGCUGUCCUGGGGUCUCUCCUGUGGGAAGUUUCCCAGUGCUGCUCUGGUCACCAGCUCUGUGCUGCUGCUUGCUGCCUUCCCUGGGGACCCUGAACCACUUCCUUUUUUGAGAUUUCCUACAGAACCCUCUUUGUUUUACUCACCUGUUGGGGCUGCAGACAGCAGACACAGACACAUGUGGAAACCAAGCUUCUACUUGCUUCUGCAGCUGAGAUGGGACUGCAGCUGAACACCUGUAGGAGAGAUUACAGACAGAUGUCUUCAAAGACUCAAAAAAAGAAGACCAUGAAGAAAAACAAGGUCCUGUGAAUUCAGGAAACUAUAUUUGGAUCACUACAGUUGCCAGAGCACUGCAGAAGUCAGACUAAUUUGUCAUCUAGAAAGCCACAACACUAGAUCUGUCAAAUAAAUGUGAACUUCCACCA